AGAUGGAUGUUAUUAGAAAGGUUUUUACUUCGAAUGUGCGCGGCUUGUCCACAUGGCUGAGAUUAGUGCUCAAUACUCAUAUAAUGCUUUUCAUCCUCAAAAGGACUUUACAAGCUCCAGCCCUCAAAACACCCCUACAAGAUUAUUUUUUUUUCCAGGAGUAAAUACUUGCAUAGUUAUGUCAAUUGAAUGAAGGACUCUGCAGCAUCUCAGGAAAAACAGUGACUGUUUCUUACUUUUUUCCAGAAUACUUCUACAUUUGAUUUUAUCUCCCUCCUGUUUUACUGGGAAAGGUAUCUGGCCCCACAAACUACUCUGGAGAAAAAGGAAAAGCAAGUUAUUUUCUGGUUUUAUGACUACUAUACAGUGUUUCAGUUACUGGAUGGUUUCUUCCUGCAAGAAUAGAUUCAACAUAAAUCAAUGGAGUGUGGUAUCACUAAUUUAAGGAGAAGCUGGGGCAGGUGUUGACAUGACAUCUGGAGCCACCUUCCCAGUGGGGGUACUGGGAUACAAGACUCACAGUCACCUCCCAUCAUCACUUUCACUCCUGAGGGAUGAGGGGCAGACCUGUACCAUGGUCACAAGCACAAAGGAAGUUUGUAGAGAUGUUCCUGAGCUUCAGAAACACGGGCUUGACCUUCAAGAGUUCCUGCUAAUUUGUUCAGUGUGUAGCAAAGGCCUCCGGCUAUGCCUCCUGGGUGCUGCUGCAGCACAGCCACCUUCUCUUUUGUUUGGGCACCUUUAUCAGUACAGCCGAAGGGAACACUGUGUGGACUGUGAAUUCCUCUCCCAGAUCAUGUAAAUACUUGGACGGCAUGUGCUGUUGCUGCUAGUAUUAAUCUAACUAGCUAAAGCUGGUUUGCAUACCUUUGUAGCUAUGGCAGAAGUUUAAUGAUAAAUAUUCCCAAAUGCGGCUGUGCAAAUAGUGGCAAAUUCUGAGUAAAUGCAUGAAAUGCAUUAUAGUAGUCAAAAAUUCUUCUGUUUUUCCUUCAAGAAAAAAAAGAAAAGGAUGAUUCUUCUUUUAUGGCACAGGCCUAGUUCUCUUUUGUAACUUCUAGAAUUUCACACAUCUUAUGAGUAUAAAAAGAUCAUAAAACCUAUGGUAAACAUUCAAGGAUUAUUUUACUAUGGACUGUUAAACCACUGAUAUCCUUCUACCCUACCCUCUGGAUCAGGGGUGCAGAGUUGUUUUUACAUACUGUGCUCAUACAUAAGUGAAUGCUUGUUGACAAAUAGACACAAUAACUAGAGGAUGUUGUGUAAAAAAUUAACAGGUAAAACCACCCAAACAAACAAACUCACAUGCCCUUCAUCAUAUUGUAAAAGAUACUAAAAAAUGGAAUUGCAAAUGGUAGCAAUCCCAGCCAUUUAUAAAUCCCAAAAGGUGAGAGACAGCAUUCUUGGAAAUGGUGCCAUCCCUAAAGACAGAGCAUAGAAGCUAAUCUUAUGCAAAAGAAGUUGUCUCCCCUUGGUAGUGGCCUUACUUGUACCUAAAAUAAUUCAUCUUUGACUUAAAAUCCGUCAAAAUUGGCUUCUGCCCAGUCCAAAGGGGAUGGCUGCUCUUCUCAAGGUCAGCUCUGAAGGGUUCACCAGGCCAAUACCUCUGUUCCCCUGUAACUGUCUGCUUCCAUGAAUGGUUAUGGAAAUAUCUUUUUAUGGUUGCUGAGAAGGUGCCAGGAGAGAGCUGGGAAGGAGAGGGGCAAUUCUGAGGGCUGGAGUUUGGCUGCAUGAAUCUGCUUCAGCUGCCAUGCCAUCUCAAGGAGAUAGAUGAAAACAAGUACUUACCCAGAGAAAUGGGAGAAAAGAGCAUCCCUGGGCUUAUAACCAUACUGACUGCACAUAAUUUACUAAACUCCCUCGAAGUGGCAAUGUUUUAUUUCCUACCAGGGCAGACUGGCACAAACCAAGCAUUUAACCGUGGGUGACUAAUUACAGGUGUCAUGGAUUCAAAGCCAUGUGGCUAAGUCAAGUGCAAGCUUUUCAAAGCGUGAGCAUCUUCUUAAAAAUGAGGUUUAGCAAAUGAAAAAAAUGGUCCCAGAACUGCUGAAUUUGUUUUCUUAGCAUUUUAGUAACUGUUUGACCUACCAUUUCAAAUUACCACUUGAAAGAAAUGGACAUAUUCAGGAGGGCAGAUACUCGUUAUUUCUAAGGCAAAAUACUUCUCUAAAAUGACAUGGUGAUCAGUUGUAGCUAUCCAAAAAGAUAUUGUGCUGAGCUGUCAUGUUUCUUGUUGCAGCCUUUUUGUAUUGUUGAAAUAUCAACACUAUAGGUACUGCAUGUAUAUAGUUAACUCCUGGUUUCCUGGUGUAAGAUGGGUAGGAAACCUGUUUAAUGUAUUAACAUGACCAGAAAAACACCCUCCCUCAGGAAAAAAAAAAAUCCAUUGUAAAUAUGGAUAAGGCUACAUAAUGUAGCCGGAAGAGUAACCAAUAAGCAAAAUGAAUGGCAUGUUCUGGUAUAUAUGUGUAUUUUAAAUCAUACUGAUUUUUUGUUGAAGCUGGAAAACAGGAAGACAGUGAGACUUAAGAGAAAAUGGAAGUUGCAAAAACCUUUGCCACUGUAAAUUAUAUUUUGUUGAAUACUUGUAAUGAAAAAUAGGGGUUUCUGGAGAUAGCUCGAUGUUUUCUCUGAAUCAUGAUGAUUAUUUACUGAGUUAUUUUUUAUUUUUUCUAUUCAGAAAUAACUAGACUACUUUCAGCAAGAGAAAAAACCUAGUAUAACGGAUAGGCUAAUAUCCACCAUGGAGGAUAUGAAUAAUCAGAAGCAUUUGCAUUAUACAAAUAUGUUGCUUACAGACACUAAAAAAGGUGUUAACACAACACAUCCUUAAAUAUUAUUGAGAAAUUGUUGAGUAUAUUUGUACAUAGUUCUCUAUGUACAAUUCUCUUCUUUCAUUCAUUCCCAUUUAUAACAAUUCAUGUAGUGUGGGAUAGGCCUUUGACACAGACCUCUAACCAUCGAGAUUUGUGACACUGAUCAGAAUUCAAUGAGAGACCCCAGAACUCAUCCGCUGAAGUGAAAUAUCCCUAUAAAUCACAAGUAUUGUGUUACCAGACAGCACAGCAAAAAAUUAACCAGAGCAAAACACUCGACUCGACGCUGUUACAGCUAAUAGGUCUGAAAUGAAAGAUAAUUGCAUAUUAAAAUAGAGUGGGUAGCUCUGUUUUGAUGUAGAGAUAUAAAGAUGUCAGCCAAGCUAGGCUGCAGCAGCAGGGAAUGGGUGCCCUGAAGUGAUUGAGGAGUGAAGCCCAAGAGAGCAUUCCUCACAUUCCUGUGGCACUCCUCCUAUACAUAUGCCCCACAAGAAAAGGGAAUUCCAGCACUCCGGAUUGGUAUACAGAGCUUCGGAAAAGCUGGCACUUUUCUAUAGCUGCAGGCUUGAUUAAUUUGAAGAAAUUAUUAUCAACUCUGGAUGACGAACACGAGGCAUAUUUAAACUGUUAUUUUUCAGGGCAAAGGACAUGACAUUACCAAUCUGUUACAAAAAAACCCCCACCAAAACAUCCCCCAUAAGGACUUCUAGUAAGCACCAACCAGCAAAAUGUAGAGAAUGUGGAGCACUCCCUAGUAUUUUCCCAAGAUCUGCCCAGAAUAAUUGGUAUUACUGCAAAAAUAUUUUGCUGACACAUACGAGUGGGAUUAGCCCAAAGAGCUAUCUUUGUUAAUGAGCCAUAUCUAGAAAUUCAGUAGGUUUAGUAGAUUACUGUCUGAAGGCACAGCAUUUUUGAGAGCCACUUACGUCUAAAAGUGUAACAUUUUUUCUCCUGGGACUAGCAGUGAAUGGUUUGUAAGGAAAAGAUGGUUAUCCCUGGGAAUUUUCACAAAUAAAAAAAUCAAAUAAAGAUGACACUACCUUACUUGGA